rnacentral:lncRNA from 1 species
GCCCCCGUGACGUGAAAGGACCUGUACAGAGCCACACAGCUCUGGUAGCCAACUGAGACUGGGCCCAGGGUCCAAGCUCCUUGAAUAAGGCCUGACUGUACAUGUGUGCACAUACCAGGGAGGCAGGGGCUCAUCCGGCCCCAUCCUCCCCUGGCCCCACAGCGGGCACUCACGGUCUUCCUCGGGGGGAAGACAGGGAGAACCCAGUGCCUGUGGAAGGUUAAACAGUGCGUGGGCUGAGCAAGCGUGCCGGGGCUACCUGGCCGGGCAUGCUAGGGGCUUGCAGCAGACCUCAAGUGCCAGGGAAUGGAGCCGCUCUGUAGGUUUGGACAGAGGAAGUGGAGGCUGGGAUGGUGGGCUUCAGGCGGCGAGGCAGAAGACAUUCUAAUUAUUCAGUCAAAGGAGGCUUUGAGCUCUGCUGGGUGAAGGGGAGGAGGAUUUGUGCAGCAGCUUCCACCAGUGAGGCACAUGUGGCUGUACCUUCCUCACUGCAUCACUGCACCCAUUUCACAGGGUCACCUCAUUGCCCAAGAUGGCUGCUGGAGCCCCAGCCAGCAGGAAGGAAGAAGAAAGCCUGAAGAAGGACAUGCCCCUUCCCUUCAAGGAAGCUUCCUAGAAGUCACACUUAUAUUCCAUUGGCCAGAACUCAGUCAUCUAGCCAUACCUAGCUGCAAGGGAAGCUAGGUAGUCUAGUCUUUAUUCCAUGGGGGUCUGGCUAAAAGUUGGGAAAUAAACGAGGAAUGGAUAUUAGGAGACAGGAUCUGCCACAAAGCCUCUUUGUUCCUUUUAGAUUGCAACUGCCAGAGGGUAAGUGGGGCCUUCCCAACGCCCUGCCUCAAGCAAUCCUGGUUCUCUCCCUUCUCUGAGGUCUCAGUUCUUCCCUGAUACUCAGUAGUUACUGCCUGGAGCUGCUAAAGGCAGCAGCACAAUGCCACAUCCGGCUGCCGUUGGCUGUUGUCCACCGUCUGCAGAUCCAGGCCAGUGCACUCACUUAUCUCACAACAGCUCAACAGGCAGCUAGUCUUAGUCCCAUUUUAUAGUUGAGAAAUUGAGGCCUAAAGAGGUUAAGUAACUUGCCCAAGAGCACGCAGCUGGGCUCUGAGCCCAGUUCCUGUGUGUUUCUUUCUUUCCUGUUGAGCCUUCCCUGUAGGGGUGGAUGCCCUGGGCCUUCUCAGGGUCUGACAAGAGGAACUGGAAUGGUCUGAGCCCUAGGAGGGGCCUGUCUGGGAGGAGAGGGCAGGCAGGGGCGUGACCUGGGUCCUCA